CAACUAGAUGCAGUGCUAGGCUUCACUCUGCAAGGUGUUUAAAAAGAAAAACAGGUUUACCCAGGAUUUAUCAUGUAUGGAAAAAUGUAAUCUCUAAGUAGGCUGUCUGCUAAUGUCUGGCAUAAUGUUUCUUCAUAAUGGUUAACCCUUUUUCAGGGAGUGGAAUAAUCAAACAGUGCCUCUCUCUAGAUGGGAACUUUGCUUCAUGGGACAUUACAGUAAUCAAGAUGUAUGGUGUAUGUGGUAAACAUGUGGGAAAAGACAAGACAAAGUGUGGUGACCGAAAGAAAAGAAAGAAGAUAAAGUGGAGAGCAGGGCUAAGAGGUCUAUUUAAGACCCUCACACGUAAGAAACUGUUUAAGUAACUGUAAUAAAUCAUUCAUGAGUGAGCAGUAAAACACUGUUUAAUCAUUAAUUAACCAUGUAUUAACAGUAGAAAAUAUUAACAAUUCAUUCUUAAUGUACUUGAUGACAGCUACAGUAUUAAGUGCUAUGGAUUCAUGUAAUUGACUAUUUAACUUAUUUUCUAAUUAAGUUUUAAUAUAGUUGUAAUUAAAUUAUUGGAGUUUUUGCUUCUGUUAACCACCUAAAUAAUAUGAUGUUAUACAUGAUGGUUUCAGUCUAAUGUUACUUUGUUCAUGCUUUGCUUAUUGCUAAUGUGCCCUUCUACACAGAUGUAGGCCCAUUUAAAUCGUAAAAUUUCUCCAAAGGCAAUCGAAUAGCGAUUUAGCCUAAUCAUUUGUUUAAAGUUGACAAUGACUUGACUUGAUCAAAGACAAAGCUAGAAUUCUUGGAUGACUGGUACUCCUAGAUUAACUGCCAUGUAAAUCCUAUUCCUGAUACAAACUACAACUCAAAUAUUACUUACGGAAAUUCUGCACAUUUAACUAAAGCCUCACACUUCUGUUGCACUUGCUAACACACUCAUUUUUUUUUAAAUAAGGGAACAAUAUAUAAAAAAAUGACAACAGAUAUUUUGCCUCAAAGACAACAUCUAACUUAGGCAAUGAUAUCUCAUUUUAUGUACUUUUGAGUUGAGAGAGAGAGACAGAGACAGAGACAGAGAGGAAAGGGAGAGAGAGAAAAGAGAGGAGAGAGAGACAGAGAGAGACAGAGAGAAAGGACUCAGAAUAAACAAUUUGUUGCUGUAGAGACUAGGAAAGCAAUGUAAAUUGUGGCCUUAAUAUUUUCUUCUUCUAGUUAAUAUUAUAACAAUGAUUCUUAAUAAUUACAUUUGUAGAAAAACAAAGUGUAUUAACUUGUUUAUGUGUCAGGAACGUGAGAAGAUUGACCAUCUGCUGUGGAGCCAUAGAUCCUAGGAUGCAUUUUACUGAAAUAGAAUAUUAACAUUUUUAAUCAAGUGUUUACAGAAAGUAAAUAUUUCACUUGGCCAUUGGAACAGUAAAAGUAUUUUCAAUCUUCGGUGGCUCUGCAUUAGUCACAAAGAGGAGGUAAACAUAAACAGGAACAGAAACGAAUCUCAGAUCCUCGGGUUAACUGGGGUAUAUUGAAUGUAAAGGACUCCUUUUACAGAGCCAUCAGUUCACAUCACAGAGAUAUGGCCCUGUGGCCUUUGUCACACUUGUCAAUCAAUCCCCACCGUUAUUCAAUCAGGUGGUAAGCAGGGAAUCCUAGACCAGAGGGUACAGUUCUGAAUACACGGAUUUGUCUACCCUAACAAGGCUGCAUUUGCUUUAAUGACUCUGCCCAGUCACUAACGCUACCCAUGCCUCCCACAGGCAACAUUUCAGAAGUGUCAUAGAGAAAAUGUGAUUGCUAGGGCUUCCGAAGUUUUCUUUCCUUUCUUUGAAAUUAAGUUUCAUAUAUUUCCAAGUGUGAACUGACUGGCUUUUAUAGUAUAAGCUUUUCAGAGUAGAAGGUGAGCAUCAAAAAGCAUUGCUUAGAAUAACAACAAUAUUUUGUUGUAUGGACAAGACAAAUCUAUUCUUCACGGCAGGCAUAAGGCUAUUGACCCAAACCACAGUUCCCAGGCUGAGGAUGGGAUGGGCAAUGCCAUGCUGGAGUGGGUGAGGUGUCUUCUCAUAGAACAAGAAAGUUGUUGCGAUUUUUUUCUGCGGCAUCUUUUCAGAGGAUGACACAGUUCAGUGCUUGCAAUUACUUAAGCUCCAUCGUGCUGAAUGGAGACAAAGUUACAACUUUUGAGAUUACUACUGACAACAGAGCAUAUUCCUGUCUGUGAGAGAACUUGUUAAGGGACCUAUACAAAGUGCUGUGGCUGAGUGUAAUUGCAACCAUUGGGGUGGGGGAGGAUCAGGUCAGAAAGCCUGUCUGGUGGUUUCAUACCCAGCUCACACUCACAGGCAGCUAUCCUGAACGUAACUAAGUUUUCCUGAAUUAAACGGUUACUGUAGGGCUUCAGACAUGGCUUAGUCCUUAAGAAUAUUUACUGAUUGUGUGGAAGACACCACGUUGGUUCCCAAUAUCAACAAGUAAGGUUGCUUACAACCGUCUGUAACUCUGGUUCUAGGAGAUCAGAUGCCCUCUUCUGGCCACUGCAGGUAUCAGAUAUUCACAGGGUGGACAUAAAUAAGUCCAUUCUGGCCAAACCCUCAAAUAAACACAAACAUAGAAAUUAAAGCAGUUGAUAUAACAACCCACUUUUUCUGAGCAUUAAAGUGGUCCAAAGUUAGAGUGGGAUAAUAAGACAGAAAAGGAAGUUUUGUCGAACGCUGCUAGUUUAAAUGACUUUUACAUAUUGGGAAUACUGACUCAGCAGGGAGAGCAAUGAAAAAGGCAUUUAGCUUUGGCUGUCUAGCCGCUGGGAAAUAUUACAGCUGGAAUUUUCACUGCAGACUUUCCGUGUGAGUACUGAGCUAACAUCCCUGAGGGGGAGCAGAGCCCCAGAGUUUAUCCCCGUGUUUACAACCCUGCAGGUCAGCACUGCCCGAUGGGAAAUCAUCCGAGCCACAUACGUAAGCGUAAUGUCCCCCCCCCCCCUAUACAUUUUACUUAA